GAAAUGAGAAGCUUGAUUCCCUUUUUCGUUGCCGCUCUGUGCCGUCAAGUUGUCGCCAACUUACGGCAGCCCUGGGAAUGAGUGUCCCCCGAAAUGGACAGCUCUUGUUGGCACAAGGCAGCUGAGGCACUGAUCCAUCCUCAGUAGCUGGUGAGUGUCUUUUACCUGGAAGUCUCAUCUUCUGGCACUAAGUCUUCUUUCCCUUCGGUUUGUUCCAUCAUAGGAUUUGCAAGGUGGCUUCUUUCUACACGCUCUCGACAUACAAGGACAGCUGGAUUAGGAUCAGAGGAGGAAGUGAAAUUGGUGGAAGAUACAUCAAUGAUUUAAGCUACCAUAUUAUUGGCAGGAAGCAAUGAAGAAUAGGAACGGCUCCUGAGCAUGAAUCCUACUUUAAAUUCCACAGCAGAAAGGCAGAAUAAAACGCAACAGAUCUGAACAA